CACUAUGCUUAGCCGUAAACCCAAAUAUGUAAACCAACAAACAUAUUCGCCAGAGAACUACUAGCAACAGCUUAAAACUCAAAGGACUUGGCGGUGCUUUAUAUCCGUCUAGAGGAGCCUGUUCUAUAAUCGAUAAACCCCGAUUUACCUCACCAUYUCUUGCUAAGUCAGCCUAUAUACCGCCAUCUUCAGCAAACCCUAAUUAAGGCACUCUAAGUAAGCCAAAACAUACAACAUAAAAACGUUAGGUCAAGGUGUAGCCAAUGAGAUGGGAAGAAAUGGGCUACAUUUUCUUACCCCAAGAAAAUCAACGGAAACUCUUAUGAAAUCGAAGAGGAUAAGGAGGAUUUAGCAGUAAAUUGAACUUAGAAAGCUCAAUUGAACUGAGCAAUGAAGCACGC
rnacentral:rRNA from 1 species